UAGAGCCUCCCAUACUUCAGCUGC
rnacentral:siRNA from 1 species